CCACCCGUAGCUCAGUGGAAGAGAGCGGCGUGCUACGAACGCGCAGGGCGGGGGUUCGAGUCCCUCCGGGUGGUCCA
rnacentral:tRNA from 1 species